AAAGAUCGCAGCCUUCGGCAGCUGCUACAGGGAAGCGCUAAAUCCUGUGUAGGAGCUGCCGAAGGCUGCGAUCUUU
rnacentral:antisense_RNA from 1 species